CCUUGUGACCAUUGAGGAGGGGCCACACCCGAUCCCUUUCCGAACUCGGAAGUUAAGACCUCCAUCGCCGAUGAUACUGCCAGGUAGCU
rnacentral:rRNA from 1 species